AGGACGAACGCUGGCGGCGCGCUUAACACAUGCAAGUCGAGCGAGAACCAGGGCUUCGGCCCUGGGGACAGCGGCGAACGGGUGAGUAACACGUGGGUAACCUGCCCUCGGCACCGGAAUAGCCCGGGGAAACCCGGAUUAAUGCUGGAUUAGCCUCACGGAUCCUCGGGUCUGUGAGAAAAGGUAGCUUCGGCUUCCGGCUGAGGAUGGGCCCGCGGCCGAUUAGCUUGUUGGUGAGGUAACGGCUCACCAAGGCGACGAUCGGUAGCUGGUCUGAGAGGACGAUCAGCCACACUGGGACUGAGACACGGCCCAGACUCCUACGGGAGGCAGCAGUGGGAAUCUUGCGCAAUGGGCGAAAGCCUGACGCAGCGACGCCGCGUGCGGGAAGAAGGCCUUCGGGUUGUAAACCGCUUUCGAGGAGGACGAAGCCACUCAGUUAAUAGCCGAGAGGUGACGGUACCUCAGAAGAAGCCCGCUAACUACGUGCCAGCAGCCGCGGU
rnacentral:rRNA from 1 species